GACGAACGCUGGCGGCGUGCUUAACACAUGCAAGUCGAACGGAAAGGCCCUGCUUUUGUGGGGUGCUCGAGUGGCGAACGGGUGAGUAACACGUGAGUAACCUGCCCUUGACUUUGGGAUAACUUCAGGAAACUGGGGCUAAUACCGGAUAGGAGCUCCUGCUGCAUGGUGGGGGUUGGAAAGUUUCGGCGGUUGGGGAUGGACUCGCGGCUUAUCAGCUUGUUGGUUGGGUAGUGGCUUACCAAGGCUUUGACGGGUAGCCGGCCUGAGAGGGUGACCGGCAACGUGGGGACUGAGAGAAGGCACAGACUGGUAGGGGGGGGAGCAGUGGGGGAUAUUGCACAAUGGGCGGAAGGCUGAUGCAGUAACGCCGCGUGCGGGAUGACGGCCUUGGGGUUGUAAACCGCGUUCGACUGUGACGAAGAGUUAGUGACGGUAAUGGGUAAAGAAGCACCGGCUAACUACGUG
rnacentral:rRNA from 1 species